GACACUGUCAAGAAAGUCUUUACACAAAAUAUUUUCAUUUUUUAAAUUCAAAAUUCUUCGUAAUUAUUUAAUAUAUUUAACUUAUUUUAAUAUUUGGUCAUACUCAAAGGGAAUCUUUUGCCACUCUUCCAAUAUGAAUUCUUUGAGCUGAUUGCGGUUUUUGGGCUGUCUUUUUCCCACUUUCUUCUUCAAAUAGGCCCACAAAUUUUCAAUGGGGUUAAGAUCGGGACUCUGGGGUGGUGUAU